AUGGACGAAAGUCUGACCGAGCAACGCCGCGUGAGUGAAGAAGGUUUUCGGAUCGUAAAACUCUGUUGUUAGAGAAGAACAGAGGAUGAGAGUAACUGUUCAUCCCUUGACGGUAUCUAACCAGAAAGCCACGGCUAACUACGUGCCAGCAGCCGCGGUAAUACGUAGAGUGGCAAGCGUUGUCCGGAUUUAUUGGGCGUAAAGCGAGCGCAGGCGGUUUCUUAAGUCUGAUGUGAAAGCCCCCGGCUCAACCGGGGAGGGUCAUUGGAAACUGGGAGACUUGAGUGCAGAAGAGGAGAGUGGAAUUCCAUGUGUAGCGGUGAAAUGCGUAGAUAUAUGGAGGAACACCAGUGGCGAAGGCGGCUCUCUGGUCUGUAACUGACGCUGAGGCUCGAAAGCGUGGGGAGCAAACAGGAUUAGAUACCCUGGUAGUCCACGCCGUAAACGAUGAGUGCUAAGUGUUGGAGGGUUUCCGCCCUUCAGUGCUGCAGCUAACGCAUNAAGCACUCCGCCUGGGGAGUACGACCGCAAGGUUGAAACUCAAAGGAAUNGACGGGGGCCCGCACAAGCGGUGGAGCAUGUGGU
rnacentral:rRNA from 1 species